UACGAGGGGGGCGAGCGUUGUUCGGAAUUAUUGGGCGUAAAGGGUGCGUAGGCGGUUUGGUAAGUCUUAUGUGAAAUCUACAGGCUCAACUUGUAGUCUGCAUGAGAAACUGCCGGGCUUGAGUAUGGGAGAGGUGAGUGGAAUUCCUGGUGUAGCGGUGAAAUGCGUAGAUAUCAGGAGGAACACCCAUGGCGAAGGCAGCAAACUGGGCAUCAUCUGACGCUGAGGCGCGAAAGCGUGGGGGAUCAAACAGG
rnacentral:rRNA from 1 species